AACGCAUAUUGCGCCCGCGUCUUCGGACAAGGGCAUGUCUGCCUCAGCGUCGGGUUAAUAAUCGCAAACAAAUCCCUGUGGUUCACCCCUGUGGUUUUGUCUAUUGCGGAUCUGGCCGUCCCGAUUGAGUUUUCACUCGGGUCUGCUGAAGAGCAGAGGUUGACGCAUGGACCCGAUUAAGGGCCGCAACUGGGUAGGCAAUUCGUUGCUGAUGCUUUAGUUGUUGGCUUGUGGACUGUGCAAUGUCAGCUCAAACCAGGAACCGAGCCUUUGUGCUUGGCAAUAACCCUAUUUUCUCGACCUGAGCUCAGGCAAGAACACCCGCUGAACUUAA
rnacentral:misc_RNA from 1 species